CUACGGGGCGCACCAGUGGGGAAUAUUGCACAAUGGGCGCAAGCCUGAUGCAGCCAUGCCGCGUGUAUGAAGAAGGCCUUCGGGUUGUAAAGUACUUUCAGCGGGGAGGAAGGGAGUAAAGUUAAUACAUUUGCUCAUUGACGUUACCCGCAGAAGAAGCACCGGCUAACUCCGUGCCAGCAGCCGCGGUAAUACGGAGGGUGCAAGCGUUAAUCGGAAUUACUGGGCGUAAAGCGCACGCAGGCGGUUUGUUAAGUCAGAUGUGAAAUCCCCGGGCUCAACCUGGGAACUGCAUCUGAUACUGGCAAGCUUGAGUCUCGUAGAGGGGGGUAGAAUUCCAGGUGUAGCGGUGAAAUGCGUAGAGAUCUGGAGGAAUACCGGUGGCGAAGGCGGCCCCCUGGACGAAGACUGACGCUCAGGUGCGAAAGCGUGGGGAGCAAACAGGAUUAGAUACCCCGGUAGUC
rnacentral:rRNA from 1 species